UGACUUUGCACAGCUCCAAACCUGCCACAGUAACAACGACCACUGAAUACAGAAUGAUGCCACCUUAGCCUGUUGUGGGACAGACAACAGUGACAGCGGGCUUUAGAACGAAUGUGGAGCUGAAAAGAGGCCGGAGGAUCCAGGCACCAUCCAGGGAGCUGCUUCUUUGCACACAUUCCCAGAGCUUCCACUGCCACCCGGCAGUGUCUUUCCUCGGGCUGCCAAUUCUUGCUUCCUGUCUCAGGACUUCUCUGGGAUGUCCACCCUCACCUACUCACCCAUCCUCAUGAAGCAGCCGAAAAACGUAGAGGAGGCGGCCCAUCACGGGGAUACCCAUGAGAAAUGGAGUGGCGGUCAACUGAGAGCAAGCUGCCCUCCGUGGUAAGUUUGCUAACAUGGCUUAUGUUAGCUUUCCUCGCAGUGAUCCCAUCCUCCAUCUUGG
rnacentral:lncRNA from 1 species